CCGCCUUCCAGCGAGCAGAGCACCGCCUCGGAGACACAGGGAUCACUCCGCCAAAGCACAUAACGCUGUAGCCCACAGGAAUGCGGCUUCGGCACACCUAGAGAGAGUUGGUACCAAGCGAUACGGAAGCUAGAUGACAUCACUUCCAGCUUCACUCCUAUGACGUUACUUCUGGCUCACAAUGAUGACAUCACUUCCAGCUCCACUUUGAUGACAUCACUUCCAGCUCCCAAUGGCACCCUCUUUUCCUGUUGGGGCUCCCACUCCCAAGGUUCUCCCCUUUGAAGAGGAAGAUUUUCUGUUCAUUUGAUUGAGAGAUGGAGUUGUGCCCUCCGGGUAGUCACAGAGCCUGGACCACUCCUGGAAGAGACUUAUGUUUGUUUAAAGUGUUUGAAUAAAGUUUUUGUCUCUGGA